UAUAUUAUUCCUUACUAAUGAGACUUUCUAUACAACAAAGUGAGGUCAUUCUGUGUUGAUUUAUACCAUAAGGUGCUGGCUAUCAUGUGUUUGAAGAUACCCUAAACUUAACCUAACAAAACCCCAAACAGUCACUAUAGGUCUUGACUCAGAAAAUUCAUAUAUGCUUCCUUACUAAUGAGACUUUCCAUACAACAAAGUGAGGUCAUUCUGUGUUGAUUUAUACCAUAAGGUGCUGGCUAUCAUGUGUUUGAAGAUACCCUAAACUUAACCUAACCUAACCUAACAAAACCCCAAACAGUCACUAUAGGUCUUGACUCAGAAAAUUCAUAUAUGCCUCCUUACUAAUGAGACUUUCUAUACAACAAAGUGAGGUCAUUCUGUGUUGAUUUAUACCAUAAGGUGCUGGCUAUCAUGUGUUUGAAGAUACCCUAAACUUAACCUAACCUAACCUAACAAAACCCCAAACAGUCACUAUAGGUCUUGACUCAGAAAAUUCAUAUAUGCUUCCUUACUAAUGAGACUUUCUAUACAACAAAGUGAGGUCAUUCUGUGUUGAUUUAUACCAUAAGGUGCUGGCUAUCAUGUGUUUGAAGAUACCCUAAACUUAACCUAACAAAACCCCAAACAGUCACUAUAGGUCUUGACUCAGAAAACUCAUAUAUGCUUCCUUACUAAUGAGACUUUCUAUACAACAAAGUGAGGUCAUUCUGUGUUGAUUUAUACCAUAAGGUGCUGGCUAUCAUGUGUUUGAAGAUACCCUAAACUUAACAUAACAUAACCUAACAUAACCCCAAACAGUCACUAUAGGUCUUGACUCAGAAAAUUCAUAUAUGCAUCCUUACUAAUGAGACUUUCUAUACAACAAAGUGAGGUCAUUCUGUGUUGAUUUAUACCAUAAGGUGCUGGCUAUCAUGUGUUUGAAGAUACCCUAAACUUAACCUAACAAAACCCCAAACAGUCACUAUAGGUCUUGACUCAGAAAAUUCAUAUAUGCUUCCCUACUAAUGAGACUUUCUAUACAACAAAGUGAGGUCAUUCUGUGUUGAUUUAUACCAUAAGGUGCUGGCUAUCAUGUGUUUGAAGAU